UACGUAGGGUGCGAGCGUUGUCCGGAAUUACUGGGCGUAAAGAGCUCGUAGGUGGUUUGUCGCGUUGUUCGUGAAAACUCACAGCUCAACUGUGGGCGUGCGGGCGAUACGGGCAGACUGGAGUACUGCGGGGGAGACUGGAAUUCCUGGUGUAGCGGUGGAAUGCGCAGAUAUCAGGAGGAACACCGGUGGCGAAGGCGGGUCUCUGGGCAGUAACUGACGCUGAGGAGCGAAAGCGUGGGGAGCGAACAGG
rnacentral:rRNA from 1 species